UAUUAUAUUACUAUUAUAUUUAGUGUAUUGCUAAUCAAUAUAUUGUUACUUCCCAGAUGACAGCUGCUCGCUUCAAGAGCAGGUGAAGCAAGUUGGGACAAUGUUGAAGACAUUUGCUCGCACUGGGCAAUCGGUAGGUGCAGAUCAAACCCUAAUGCUGCGACGUCUUGGGAGUUUGGCGAUGUUGUGCGUAGCAUGGACGACAAAAUGCUAUGCUGCAACGUUUCAGUGCCAAUGUGUCUGUUGGAGAGUUAUCCCUGACAGGGGAUCUGUUACUCCCCCCUAGACACCCAGGAACAUUUGGCGUUGCUUGACAACAGUUUGAGGCAGGAUAAAGAGCUCCAGCAACGAUUUCUUCGGUUUUUGGCAAUCAAAUGUGGGAGGGACCUAAAGACAACCGUGUGGCGAAUGCUUCAGAGUAUCUUCUCUAAUCACCUUUCCAUCAAUACAACCUGGACUGGUGUAGGGGAUAAAGCAUGUUUUAGAGACAUGUUCCUGAAGACCAUUGUUCAAAGAGCCAUCCGGAAGAACCCGGCAACACAGGAUGCCACUGAUGAGGCGAUCCAGGUUAACGUUAUGCGUUACCUGAAAGGAGCAUCUGAACAUGAAGGUGGAAAAAGCGCCGCACAGCUGAGAGGGACCCACAGCCGACCCCUUAA